GGGAAUUACGAGCGCAAGCUUAAAAUUCAAAGGAUUUGACGGUAUCCCACCCACCWAGAGGAGCCUGUUCUAUAANCGAUAAUCCUCGAUACACCCAACCAUUUCUUGCUUUUCAGCCUGUANACCUCCGUCGCAAGCUUACCAUUUGAAUGUAAWAAAGUAGGUWWAAGGAUCCCCCAUCAACACGUCAGGUCAAGGUGCANCCAAUGUAAUGGAAAGUAAUGGGCUACAAUUUCUAUAAUARAAMAAANRAAA
rnacentral:rRNA from 1 species